rnacentral:rRNA from 1 species
CCUACGGGAGGCAGCAGUGAGGAAUAUUGGUCAAUGGACGAGAGUCUGAACCAGCCAAGUAGCGUGAAGGAUGACUGCCCUAUGGGUUGUAAACUUCUUUUAUAUGGGAAUAAAAUGUUCCACGUGUGGGAUUUUGUAUGUACCAUAUGAAUAAGGAUCGGCUAACUCCGUGCCAGCAGCCGCGGUAAUACGGAGGAUCCGAGCGUUAUCCGGAUUUAUUGGGUUUAAAGGGAGCGUAGGUGGAUUGUUAAGUCAGGUGUUAAAGUUUGCGGCUCAACCGUAAAAUUGCAGUUGAAACUGGCGGUCUUGAGUACGGGAGAGGUGUGCGGAAUGCGUGGUGUAGCGGUGAAAUGCUUAGAAAUCACGAAGAACUCCGAUUGCGAAGGCAGCUCACUGGACUGCAACUGACGCUGAGGCUCGAAAGUGUGGGUAUCAAACAGGAUUAGAUACCCCAGUAGUC